rnacentral:tRNA from 1 species
GAUUUUUUAAAAAAGUGUCUUGAAAACACUUAAAAGAGACUAAAUUCUCUAAAAAUCU